GGAGCUUUAGCCAAGCGGUAAGGCAAGGGACUGCAACUCCCUGAUCCCCGGUUCAAAUCCGGGAGGCUCCUCCA
rnacentral:tRNA from 1 species